UACGUAGGGGGCCAGCGUUGUCCGGAAUCAUUGGGCGUAAAGCGCGCGUAGGCGGUCAGGUAAGUCCGGUGUGAAAGUCAAAGGCUCAACCUUUGAAUGCCGCUGGAUACUGCCUGACUUGAGUCCGGAAGGGGCGAGUGGAAUUCCUGGUGUAGCGGUGAAAUGCGCAGAUAUCAGGAGGAACACCAAUAGCGAAGGCAGCUCGCUGGGACGGUACUGACGCUAAGGCGCGAAAGCGUGGGGAGCGAACAGG
rnacentral:rRNA from 1 species